rnacentral:rRNA from 1 species
UGCUGCAUGGCUGUCGUCAGCUCGUGUCGUGAGAUGUUCGGUUAAGUCCGCUAACGAGCGCAACCCUCGCUGUGUGUUACAAGUGUCACACGGAACUGCCGGUCAUAAACCGGAGGAAGGUGGGGAUGACGUCAAGUCAGCAUGGCCUUUAUAUCCUGGGCUACACACACGCUACAAUGGGAAGGGACAAUAGGUUGCGAAGCCGCGAGGCGGAGCCAAUCCAGCAAAACUUCCCUCAGUUCAGAUUGCAGGCUGCAACUCGCCUGCAUGAAGUUGGAGUUGCUAGUAAACGCAGGUCAGCCAUACUGCGUUGAAUACGUUCCCGGGCCUU